rnacentral:misc_RNA from 1 species
UCCGGCUUGACGCCGGCAGUCCCCCGAGAGUCCUCAGCUUUACCUGUUAGUAACACGGGGCAAGGGUUGCGCUCGUUGCGGGACUUAACCCAACAUCUCACGAGUUUCCCCUGCAUGUCAAGCCUAGGUAAGGUUCUUCGCGUUGCGUCGAAUUAAACCACAUGCUCCACCGCUUGUGCGGGCCCCCGUCAAUUCCUUUGAGUUUCAGCCUUGCGGCCGUACUCCCCAGGCGGGGCACUUCAUGCGUUAGCGCCGGCACCCAGGGGGUCGCUCCCCCAAGCACCUAGUGCCCAUCGUUUACGGCGUGGACUAC